rnacentral:lncRNA from 1 species
GGGCUGGGGGGGGAUAUUGGGGUCCUAGGGGGGGAUUUGGGGCUGCUAUGGGGACAUGGAUGGCCAUGGGGCAGCCCAGCGGGUGCUGUGAGUCAUGGGGGGAUGUUUGUGGGGUUAUUGGGUGCUAAUGGGGGAUAUCGGAGGUUCUUGGGGUUCCAUUGGGAUUAUUGGGGUUCUUGAGGUUCCAUUGGGUUCUAUCGGGGUUAUUGGGGUUUUGGGGUUUCAUGUGGUUCCAUGUGUCUCCACGGGGCUGCAGUGCAGACGUGCCCCAGGCUGCACCUGAGCCUGGAGAGCGGUUCUGGUGGGAUUUAUGGGGUGCCAGUGGAGUUCUUGGGGCUCCAUUGGGAUUAUUGGGGUUCCAUGGGGUUCCAUUGGGGUUCUUGGGGUUCCAUUGGGAUUAUUGGGGUUCUUGGGGUUGUAUUGGGUUCCAUUGGUGUUAUUGGUGUUCCAUUGGGUUCCAUUGGGAUUAUUGGGGUUCUUGGGGUUGCAUUGGGUUCCAUUGGUGUUACUGGGGUUCCAUGGGCUCCAUUGGUGUUACUGGGGUUUCUGUGCCCCCCGGCUGCAGUGCGGACGUGCCCCAAGCUGCACCUGAGCCUGGAGAGUGGUUCUAUUGGGAUUUAUGGGGUUCCAUUGGGUUCUAUUGGUGUUAUUGGGUUUCCAUUUGGGUUCCAUUGGAUUCCACGGGUUCCACAGGGUUCCUUGUGUCUCCAUGGGGCUGCAGUGCGGACGUGCCCCAAGCUGCACCUGAGCCUGGAGAACGGUUCCGUUGGGAUUUAUUAGGGUUCCAAUGGGUUCCAUUGGGUUCUAUUGGUGUUAUUGGGUUUCCAUUGGGGUUCUUGGGGUUCCAUUGGGGUUCUUGGGGUUCCAUUGGGGUUCUUGGGGUUCCACGUGUCCCUUGUGCCCCCCGGCUGC